AUGAAGGUGAGGGUUGGAUGGGAGCCCCCACAAAGGUAUCACAUGUAUAGUAUGUCGGUUAAAAAUCUUAUUCUUACUAACGAUAAGCAUUGGGAUGUCAAUAAAAUUGGUCAAUUAUUUUCACCUGAGGUCGGUAAUGUUAUUAUGCAGGUACCCCUUUUGGAGGAAGUCAGGGAUGAUUGUUUAGUUUGGAAAGAGGAACAAAAUGGUGUUUCUAGUGUUAAAACAUGUUAUAAACUUUGGAUGCAUGGCCUUCACAAUUAUAGGGGUAAAUGUGUGGAAGGAGAUUGA